UGAACGCUGGCGGUAUGCUUUACACAUGCAAGUCGAACGGGCUUGGGGGCUUGCUCCCGAGUUAGUGGCGAACGGGUGAGUAACAUAUCGGAACAUGUCCGGAAGUGGGGGAUAACGUACCGAAAGGUACGCUAAUACCGCAUAUGCCCUGAGGGGGAAAGGGGGGGAUCGCAAGACCUCUCGCUUUCGGAGUGGCCGAUAUCGGAUUAGCUAGAUGGUGAGGUAAAGGCUCACCAUGGCGACGAUCCGUAGCUGGUCUGAGAGGACGACCAGCCACACUGGAACUGAGACACGGUCCAGACUCCUACGGGAGGCAGCAGUGGGGAAUUUUGGACAAUGGGCGAAAGCCUGAUCCAGCCAUACCGCGUGAGUGAAGAAGGCCUUCGGGUUGUAAAGCUCUUUCAGCCGGAAAGAAAUUGCCUCUAUUAAUACUAGAGGUAGAUGACGGUACCGGAAGAAGAAGCACCGGCUAACUACGUGCCAGCAGCCGCGGUAAUACGUAGGGUGCGAGCGUUAAUCGGAAUUACUGGGCGUAAAGCGUGCGCAGGCGGUUUUUUAAGACAGAUGUGAAAUCCCCGGGCUUAACCUGGGAACUGCAUUUGUGACUGGAAGGCUAGAGUACGGCAGAGGGGGGUAGAAUUCCACGUGUAGCAGUGAAAUGCGUAGAUAUGUGGAGGAAUACCGAUGGCGAAGGCAGCCCCCUGGGUCGAUACUGACGCUCAUGCACGAAAGCGUGGGGAGCAAACAGGAUUAGAUACCCUGGUAGUCCACGCCCUAAACGAUGUCAACUAGGUGUUGGGGGAGGAGACUUCCUUAGUACCGCAGCUAACGCGUGAAGUGACCC
rnacentral:rRNA from 1 species